rnacentral:piRNA from 1 species
UAACAUCAUGGUAUCAUCGUU